GCCACCUUAGCUCAGUGGUAGAGCAUCCCCAUCGUUUGCGGGAAGGUCGGGGGUUCGAUUCCUUCGGGUGGCU
rnacentral:tRNA from 3 species